rnacentral:rRNA from 1 species
GCUUUAUAAUAUAAAAAUUUAAUUAUUUAUUAGAUUAUUUAUAUAGUUUUUUUUUGUUAUUUAAUUGGGGUGAUUUAAAGAUUUAUAAAACUCUUUAAAAAAUUAUUUCAUAUUUAAAUGUUUAUUGAUCCUUAAAAUUUUAAGAUUACAAGAAUAAGU